rnacentral:lncRNA from 1 species
UAGCUGCAGCUCUAUGACCUGUAGCCUGAGAACAACCAUAUCCUGGAGGUGUGGCCUUAAAAAGCCAAAAAAAAAAAAAAAAAUGGCUUGCUAUUUAUGAGUGUGUGUGUUUGUACUUUUACAUGUGAUACAUAGAAUGUUGCAUUUUAGAAUAAUUUGUCUCAUGUCAUAUACAACUUUAAAUUACCAAAAAAAAAAAGAUUAUUAUUAUAACUGGUGAAAGGUAAAACUCACAACUUUAAAAUUUAGGAAAUAACCCACAAAACAUGGUCUCACUUUUUAGGUUCCAAAACAUGUUAACUGAAUUAAACACAUUUGUCAAUGUAAUAGAUGUAUUUCAAGUUAUAUCAGUUUCCAAAUGUUUGAAUGAUGCUAGCAUUCUGAUGACACCAUUCAUGAUUGACAAUUUCCUUUUCCUGUUUUUUUUUUUUUUCUUUUUUCUUUUCAGGGCCACUCCUGUGGUAUAUGGAGGUUCCUAGGCUAGGGGUCGAAUGUAGAACUGCAGCUGCCAACCUGUGCCACAGACACAGCAAUGCAGGAUCCAAGAUGCGUCUGCAACCUACGCCACAGCUCAGGGCAACACUGGAUCUUUACCCCACUGAAUGAGGCCAGGGAUCGAACCUGCAUCCUCAUGGAUCUUAGUCGGGUUUAUAACCUGCUGAGCCACAAUGGGAACCCCCAGCAACUUCCUUAUUUUAUUUUAUUUUUGCUUUUUAGGGCAGCACUCUCAGCAUAUAGAGGUUCCCAUGCUAGGAAUCAAAUCGGAGCUGCAGCAGCCAGUCUAUACCACAGACACAGCCAUGCAGGAUUUGAGCCACAUCUGCAACCUACACCACAGCUCAUGGCAACACCAGAUCCUUAACCCGCUGAGCAAGACCAGGGCUCGAACCUGCAGUGGUUCCUAGUUUGAUUUGUUUCCACUGAGCCACAACGGGAACCCCACAACUUCCUUAUUUUAAACAGCAGUUUGUAUUAACAAAAGCCAUUGAAACUACUUUAUUGUUUUGAUUGGACAGUUUAUUCAAAUCAUCAUUUUAUUAUUUUGCUUUUUACUAAACAUAAAUAUGUACAGAGUCUAAAGUCUGGGCACCUUGAGUCAUCAUGUUAAAAAGCAACCAAUAUUCAUGGAUUGAAAUCAUUAGAAACAACUAGAUGGACAGAACCCAGUUAGUUUUUCAGAAACUGUUAGAUCACUUGCCUAAUAAGAGAAUUGGUAGUCUUCAAUAAAGACACAUGAUCUUGAAACUGACAGUACUGAUGGCCUGAACCUAGUCAGGACACAGAUUGGGACUUGAAUCCACAUGCCGGGACUUGAACCCGGCGUAAACCCAGAUUGGGACUUAAACCCAUGGUUCUAAAUUAGAAUCACUCACCCUGUGUCUGGACUCACUGAGGUUCAGGUUCUUCAUGUCUCCACACAGAAGGAAUUCAGCGAGAGGCAAAGUGAUAGGCAAGAAAUAGAUUUAUUGAGAUAGGACGCUUGUGAGAGAUGCAAGCCUGCAGGCACAGAAGCUCUGCCCCGAGGAUCCAGUGGGCUCCAGUGUUAUCCUCCAAGGAGAGUGGGGGCUGGAAAGGCCCUCUUCUUCCUUUCUGGGAGUAGUAGCUUCUCCUUAGUAUCCUGUGAGGUGUGUAUUCAACUCCGCAGAAGGGUGGUCCUCAAACUCUUGCCCUUGGUCUGAAUAUGAAUGCAGCCCUCAUCUCAUCCCUACCCAACGAUCUGAGGCGAUUCUCAAGGCCCCACUAUUGAUGCAAACCUGCCUUGUGCUGAUGGCUUUUUUGAGCAAUUUAUUUACUUACAGCCGUCUCUCAAAGUCCCCUACGUUUCCCUUGUUAUCUGUGUCCCUUUAUUGGGACUUCUAAAAAUACCUGUGUCUACUCCAUCCCUACCAAUCAGAUUUGCAGGUGAAACUAUUUAAACACCUAAAACUAUUUUGGUAUCUUUGUUUCCUAAAGCUCAAAUAUUUGAAAAUUUAUAUAUUUCCAAAUAUAUACUCAGAAUUUCAUUUUUAUUUUUUGGCUUCCUUAAGCUUAUAGAAUGUUUUGGGUCAUAGUAAUAGAGUUAACAAUGAAACCAAUUAAAUAAUAUGAAAUUAGUGUAUUUACUUGAUGAUACAAGUAAAAGCAAUAUACAAUAUCAAAACGCAAAGUAUAAAACCUGCACUGGGAACUCAAAGAAAAUUCCUCAAAUUAAGCAGAAAAAGAACGGGCAAUAUUGGUUUAAGGAGUCAUUACAAAAAUGUUCUUUAUUUAGUCAGAUGAAAAAAAAGCUUCUUGCAAGCAACUGCUUUGUUAUCCUUUCUGUGCUUCUUGUUUGUAUAUAUGCAUGUAUAUGUGUGUGUGUGUGGUUGGUAUAUACACAAAUAUGCUACUGUUGUAUAUGGGUGUUUGUACGUGUGUGUAUGUGUAUAUACAGAGAGACAGGCAGGGAGAGAUGAGUGAGAGAGAGGAGACAGGUGAAAGGGCUGAUAAAGUAACUUUCUGAUUCCUGUAAGCAUUAGGCAAAAAUCAGAGCAGUUUCAGAUAUUUGUUUUCUGCUAUUAUUGUGAACUUCAUCAUUUAUCAAAGAAGAUAGAUAUCUAUAUCUCUGCAUGGUGGGACAGAUGAUCUUCUUUCAGAAGAUAGAACCAAAAUAUCUUAAUUUUAGUAUUUUCAUUUUAAAUACUCGUUAUCAUAUUCUAAAUUGCUGUUGUGCUAAGAACUGAAAUGUAUUAACUCACAAUUAAUUUAAAAAUUUUUAUAGGAGUUUCUUCUAUGGUGCAGUAGGUUAACAACCUGACUGCAGCAGCUCAGGUUGCUCUGGAGGCAUAGAUUCCAUCCCUAGCCCAGCACAGUGGAUUAAAGGAUCCAGUGUUGCCACAGCUGUGGCUGAUUCAGUGCCUGGCCUGGGAACUUCCAUAUGCUGUGGGUGCAACCACACACACACACACAAAAUUAAUAAUUUAUACUGUUCAAUAUUCCCUUUAUAAAAGAUUUGAUUAAUAUCCUAAUAUAAUAAUUAUAAUAAGGGAAAACUAUCUUAUAGGAGAACAAACACGAAGAGCAACUGUGAAAGCUAAUUUUUAAAAAAUGCUUAAAUCCACUUUAAAAUAUUACAGAACUAUGUUAGUAGCCAGCAUUUGAAUCAAGAUCCUUCAGAGAAGGGGACUAUACUGGGCAGAGACCAAAUUCCUGUGCCAUGUUUUCCUUACUGAUUUGUGCAGAAGAUCAAAGUGCUGAGAAACUGAUCAGAGCUUUGGGCAGUCUCUUGGGACUAGAAAAGUAAAAAUGAGGAUUGAUGUCUCCCAGAGCAGCCAGAACUUGAGGCAUCAAAGUCACAGAAAGAAAAAGGAAAACAGAGAGGGGAGCCUAAUACUUGGCACAUUCCUAAGCAUAGGCUGAUUUUUACACUUUAGCCAAAAUUCUAGGAAGCUGAAGAGAGCUUUUGCCAAUUGAGUGGACAGAGGAGAGAAGCAUUUAGUUCAGGACCUGCCAAAGAAGAUGGGCUCUGGUAAAUACUUCAGCUUCAAGUGGGCUAAUGGCAAACCCAAACAAAUCCUCUCCUAAAGGCAGAAAACCAGCUUUGAGUCACUUCUAUUCCAGGAUAAUUAAAUUGAUCUGUCCUUACUCUACUGCCUGCCAGAAAUUUAAAAAAAUAUAUUUCUCUGACUGAAAAUAACCACAUGCAAACGUCAAAUUUUCUUUAUAAUUUUGCAUACGCAGUAUUCAACAUUCUAUCAAAAAUGAGCAGAUUUAUAGGAAGCAGAAUUAAAUAAUUGAAAACCAAGAGAUUAAAAAACAAUUAUCAGGAGUUCGCAUCAUGGCUUAGUGGUUAAUGAACCUGACUGGUAUCCAUGAGGAUGUAGGUUCAAUCCCUGGCCUCAUUCAGUGGGUUGAGGAUACAGUAUUGCCAUGAGCUCUGGUGCAGGUCACAGAUGCAGCUUUGAUCCAGCACUGCUGUGGCUAUAGUGUAGGCUGGCAUCUACAGCUCUGAUUCGACCCUUAGCCUAGGAACCUCCAUAUGCCAUAUGUGCAACCCAAAAAAGGAUUAAAUAAAUAAAUGACAAUCAGUAUAUAUAAGAUGUUUUAUUUAUUUAUUAUUAUUAUUUUUUUUUGUCUUUUUUGCUAUUUCUUGGGCCACUCCCGCAGCAUAUGGAGAUUCCCAGGCUAGGGGUUGAAUCGGAGCUGUAGCCACCGGCCUAUGCCAGAGCCACAGCAAUGCUGGAUCCGAGCCGAGUCUGCAACCUACGCCGCAGCUCACGGCAACGCCGGAUCGUUAACCCACUGAGCAAGGGCAGGGACCGAACCCGCAACCUCAUGGUUCCUAGUCGGAUUCGUUAACCACUGCGCCAUGACGGGAACUCCAUAAGAUGUUUUAAGAUAGAUAAUGUCAACUGAAAAUUAGAAUUUAUAAAAUGGAUCAUGUAGUUAUUCUAAAAUUAACAUUAAGAACACAGUUAAAGGUAUAGCCUGAGUAGAGAUAACUUAAUUGGAAGACAAAUCAUUAGGAAAUAGACUGAACCACGGAGAGGAAGAUAUAUUGAAAAUAUAGUAAAGAGUGUAUAAGAUGCAUAUAUGAUGAAAAGUUCUAGCAUAUCUGCUAGAUUAUC